rnacentral:rRNA from 1 species
UACGUAGGGUGCAAGCGUUAAUCGGAAUUACUGGGCGUAAAGCGUGCGCAGGCGGUUUUGUAAGUUUGUCGUGAAAUCCCCGGGCUCAACCUGGGAAUUGCGAUGAAGACUGCAAGGCUGGAAUCUGGCAGAGGGGGGUAGAAUACCACGUGUAGCAGUGAAAUGCGUAGAGAUGUGGAGGAACACCGAUGGCGAAGGCAGCCCCCUGGGUCAAGAUUGACGCUCAUGCACGAAAGCGUGGGGAGCAAACAGG